UAGGGAAUCUUCGGCAAUGGGGGGAACCCUGACCGAGCAACGCCGCGUGAGUGAAGAAGGUUUUCGGAUCGUAAAGCUCUGUUGUUAAGGAAGAACGAGUGUGAGAAUGGAAAGUUCAUGCUGUGACGGUACUUAACCAGAAAGGGACGGCUAACUACGUGCCAGCAGCCGCGGUAAUACGUAGGUCCCGAGCGUUGUCCGGAUUUAUUGGGCGUAAAGCGAGCGCAGGCGGUUAGAAAAGUCUGAAGUGAAAGGCAGUGGCUCAACCAUUGUAGGCUUUGGAAACUGGUUAACUUGAGUGCAGAAGGGGAGGGUGGAAUUCCAUGUGUAGCGGUGAAAUGCGUAGAUAUAUGGAGGAACACCGGUGGCGAAAGCGGCUCUCUGGUCUGUAACUGACGCUGAGGCUAGAAAGCGUGGGGAGCGAACAGG
rnacentral:rRNA from 1 species